rnacentral:rRNA from 1 species
AGAGUUUGAUCCUGGCUCAGGAUGAACGCUGGCGGCGUGCCUAAUACAUGCAAGUCGAACGCUUCACUUCGGUGAAGAGUGGCGAACGGGUGAGUAAUACAUAAGUAACCUGGCAUCUACAGGGGGAUAACUGAUGGAAACGUCAGCUAAGACCGCAUAGGUGUAGAGAUCGCAUGAACUCUAUAUGAAAAGUGCUACGGGACUGGUAGAUGAUGGACUUAUGGCGCAUUAGCUGGUUGGUAGGGUAACGGCCUACCAAGGCGACGAUGCGUAGCCGACCUGAGAGGGUGACCGGCCACACUGGGACUGAGACACGGCCCAGACUCCUACGGGAGGCAGCAGUAGGGAAUUUUCGGCAAUGGGGGAAACCCUGACCGAGCAACGCCGCGUGAAGGAAGAAGUAAUUCGUUAUGUAAACUUCUGUCAUAGAGGAAGAACGGUGGAUAUAGGGAAUGAUAUCCAAGUGACGGUACUCUAUAAGAAAGCCACGGCUAACUACGUGCCAGCAGCCGCGGUAAAACGUAGGGUGCAAGCGUUGUCCGGAAUUACUGGGUGUAAAGGGAGCGCAGGCGGGAAGACAAGUUGGAAGUGAAAACCAUGGGCUCAACCCAUGAAUUGCUUUCAAAACUGUUUUUCUUGAGUAGUGCAGAGGUAGAUGAAAUUCCCGGUGUAGCGGUGGAAUGCGUAGAUAUCGGGAGGAACACCAGUGGCGAAGGCGGUCUACUGGGCACCAACUGACGCUGAGGCUCGAAAGCAUGGGUAGCAAACAGGAUUAGAUACCCUGGUAGUCCAUGCCGUAAACGAUGAUUACUAGGUGUUGGGGGAUUGACCCCCUCAGUGCCGCAGUUAACACAAUAAGUAAUCCACCUGGGGAGUACGACCGCAAGGUUGAAACUCAAAGGAAUUGACGGGGGCCCGCACAAGCAGUGGAGUAUGUGGUUUAAUUCGAAGCAACGCGAAGAACCUUACCAGGUCUUGACAUCCGAUGCAUAGCACAGAGAUGUGUGAAAUCCUUCGGGACAUCGAGACAGGUGGUGCAUGGUUGUCGUCAGCUCGUGUCGUGAGAUGUUGGGUUAAGUCCCGCAACGAGCGCAACCCUUAUUGCCAGUUACUACGUUAAGAGGACUCUGGCGAGACUGCCGUUGACAAAACGGAGGAAGGUGGGGAUGACGUCAAAUCAUCAUGCCCUUUAUGACCUGGGCUACACACGUACUACAAUGGCGUUAAACAAAGAGAAGCAAGACCGCGAGGUGGAGCAAAACUCAAAAACAACGUCCCAGUUCAGAUUGCAGGCUGCAACUCGCCUGCAUGAAGUCGGAAUUGCUAGUAAUCGCGGAUCAGCAUGCCGCGGUGAAUACGUUCCCGGGCCUUGUACACACCGCCCGUCACACCAUGAGAGCCGGGGGGACCCGAAGUCGAUAGUCUAACCGCAAGGAGGACGUCGCCGAAGGUAAAACUGGUGAUUGGGGUGAAGUCGUAACAAGGUA